AUGUGGGACACGGUGGUGGCCAGAGUCCCUUGUGACAUCAGGGAGCCCCACCCUUCACUGGGGGUAUUUAAGGGGCGCAGGGCCCUGGAGUGCUCAGUCCCAGGAGCGCCGCUCUGCGAGGAGGACGCAGCUCCCAGGAUCUCUUUGCGCUUGCGGAAGGUUGCAAAAAAAGCGAAGAUGGAGAAGAAGCCCAACUCCCAGACCACCCAAGGCCCACUGAUGAACCUGCGUAGGAGGCCAAGAGCAAUGGAAGGGGAAGGCAGGGGAGGCCAGUGGAUGGAGAGGACCAUGAUCUUUCCUCUGCCAAAGGAGCCGUCUCCAUCCCACACCUCAUCCUCAUCCUGCUCCUCACUGGUGCCAAUCAAGCUGCCACCAGUGCAUGUCGGGCAGCCAAAGGUGGGACCAAAAAAUAUUCACCCCCUCACAGUGCCAGAGGUGCAGCCCCAGCAGCCGCUGGCAGUGCCACGCUGUGAGGAGGAAGCAGAGGCCUUGAUCCAUCUGCGCUUGAGGAUGAUAGAAAUUAUGGAGAAGAAGCCCAACUCCCAGGCCACCCAAGACCCACUGCUGAGCCUGCAGAGGGGGCCAAGUGUGAGGGAUGAGGCAGUUCCAGAGGUGCAGCCCCGGCAGCUGCAGACAGUGCCGCUCAGUGAGGAGGAAGCAGAUGCCUUGAUCUGUCUGCGCUUGAGGAUGAUAGAAAUUACGGAGAACAUGGAGAAAACGGAGAAGAUGAAGAAGAAGCGCAACAACCAGGCCCCCCAAGGCCCACUACUGAGCAAGCGAAGGCUGCCAAGUGUGAGUGAUGAAGCAGGUAAGAGAGGCCAGCAGAUGGAGAGGGCCAGGAUCUUUGCUCUGCCGAGGGAGCCGUCUCCAUCUCGCACCUCACCCUCAUCCUGCUCCUCGCUGGUGCCCAACAAGCUGCCACCAGUGCACCUCGGUCAGCCAAAGGUGGGACCCAGAAAUCUUCAGCCCCUCGCGGUCCCAGAGGUGCAGCUGAGGCAGCCGCAGGCAGCGCCGCAGGGCAGCCGCAGCCAGGCCCUGUCCCUCUGUGGGGACAGGCUGCCACCGCUGCCACCUGUGCCACGGCCGCCAGCACUGCCCCGCCUGCUGAGCCCCAGGGACCCUGAGAGCCGGGGCACAGAGCUGGGCAGUGCAGGGGAGAAGGGCCCCCCCCCCCCCCCCCCCCCCCCCCCCCCCCCCCCCCCCCC
rnacentral:lncRNA from 1 species